AAGAUAAGCAGUCUGUUUGCUUGUGAAGCUGACAUCAUGGUGGAGGAGUGAGACAAUCAAGAAGUAAACAAAGAGAUGAGCAGAUAAUGUUAGAGUGUUAAGGAGCGUUCUGAAGCACCCACCACGGGCCCACGUGCUCACUUGACAUCCUACAACAGACGGAUGGAGGCCUUUUAUGGAUGCAGAACCAGAGCUGGAGAGCCCAGGUGACCUGCCUCAGCUCACACAGCAAGAUGCAGAAGCCCCGGAGCCCCCCACCCACAUUCACGGGGACGACCAGGAGGUAGCUUGAGGAGCCGCUGCCUGCCAGGAUGUUGGCUACGAGGCAGGUGCAUCCAGCAUUCUGCACCCGGGACUCCAGACCGGCCGGCAUCCACGGUCCUUAUGUCUCCCAGCGUCAGGUUUGCACUGAAGGUGGAGCUGACAGGACACACUGCUGGACCCUAUGUGACAGAAGUCAUGGAUGACUCCAGGUUCCAGGCUCAGCAACUGGAAGGACGGAGCUGCCACCUCACGGAGACGCCCAAGCGCUAUGCCGGCUCCCACGAGAGGACGGAUGUGGAGCAGCCCUUCUCCGGGGCCAUGUGGGACCCGAGCAAAGCCUUCCCCCAGUACAGUGUGCCUUGCUCUCUGAAAUCCCUCCUGGUUCAGAUCGAGGUUGUUCCCCAUCUCCCGCAUUCCACCUCUGGCCCCGAGUCCCUUGUAAAUUGUGCAGAAGACACCAGGUCCCUUCUCCCUCUCAGUGCCUGAAGAGCAGCAGACUUCUGUGUAGCCCUCAUUCUGUGCCUGGCAAGAUCCUAGACUUUGCAUUAGGGGACGCAUUUGGUCAUCACAACAAUUCUAAAAGACGGGGACUGUUACAAUUACAUCGAUUUCAUGAAUGGAAAACCUAAGGCCUAGAGAGGUUAAGUCACUUGUCUGGGAUCACACAGCUAGCAAGUAACAGAGGCAGGAUUUGACCCCAGGCAGUCAAGCCCAGGACUCACGCUCUUAACUGUCUCAUGAGGAGCUAACCUUUGACCAUGAGGGGCCAAACUGGCCUUGCGGGAUUGGAGUAGGGGGGGAGGGCUCACACAGUGUCCUUUUCUGAGCACCUGCCCCAUGCCUAAAGCUGUACCCAUGCUCUAUUCUGCAUGUCAACUGAAGAGGUGGAUAGUAGGAUGACUGUACCCAUUCUACAGAUGAAGAAAUGGAGGCUCAGAGGGAGGAAGUGCCAUGUCCGAAGUCACGCAGACAGGCGUGAGAACCCAGGGUGCAUUCUGUCCCUUCCUCCGUGCUGCCUGUGCUUGCCACCUGCUUCUUGCCUUGGUAGUAAGGGGCGUGCUCAGGGGUUCGAUGGCCAAGGUGAGGUUUUUUUUUGAGCUGGCUGGCACAGGAUAAGAAAACAGGCUGAAGACCAGGACGAGUACUUCAGGGACAGCCCAGCGCUUCGUGCUUGUGGAUUCUGUCCAGUCCCACCAGCACUUCUGAGGCCAGCUCUGAGGAGGCAGGCGCUGGGGGUACCGGGGCAGGAGCGUGCCGCUGAGCGUGGGAGAGAAGUGGAGGCCCGAGGCCUCUGACGCACAGGAAGUGGUGGCGUUGUCAUCAGAGUUCAGAUCAAGAGCAGCGCAGAGGAGCAUGUGCUCGUGAACCUUUUGCCUUGGGCAGCCUCUUUGCCUCCUUAAACCUCAGUUUCUACUUCUGUGAAAUGGGUUAGUACCACCUGUAUGAGACGGCUGUGGUCAGGUCGAACGCUGGGCACUAAGGGGGCUCCCUCCAUCUUCAGCUGCUCAUUACUGUCUUCCGGGACAGGAAAAACACAGGACCCAGCACGUCUUAGGUGCUCUGAGGACCUGAGCCUGCUGGACAUAUGAAAAAAAAACAAAAAACUUAAUCAACUUUGGGACUUCCUGUCUUCACCUGUGAAGUCAAUGCUUUCCACCUCCUUUACACAUGUACGCAGAACCUGUCGGCUACCUGGGGAGGUGAUUACGAAAAUCAUCUUCACUGAACAGUAAGAAAUCGAUGCUCAGAGAGCUUGUGAGACAUAACCAAAGCCACAGAGCUAGGAAGUGAUGAAUCAGGAAUUUGAACGUGACUCCCUCCGCCUCCUUAGCGUUAACUCUUGAAUCACAAGGCUAAAAUGAUAAUAGCUUAAAUUUUGUUGAGCACUUAUUCUGUGCUAGGGAUGAGUCCAAGCCUUUGACAUAUCUGAACUAAUGCUAAUCUUGGCUUCAAAUGUAUGAGACACGUGCUAUUUUCUUCCCAUUUUACACAUGAAGAAAAAGGGUAAGUAACUUAUCCAUGGUCACAGAGCUAGUAACGUACAAAACCAGGAAUCAAACUCAGGCGGUCUGGCCCCAGAGUCCCUGGUCUUAUCCCCCAUGCUCUACUUGAGUUAGCGCUGAAUACCCAGCACCGUGCCUGGUGCGCUUAAUCAAUUGUUAAACCUUUGAAAAACAUGUAGAGAUAAGCAGGGCUUUCCUCUUCUAAACCACACCGAGGGCUUGCCUGAGAAUUCACUGUUCCCUUAUUUCCAUCCCUUCCUGUUGGUCUCACUUGCUAGACGAGAAGUUUGCCAGGGGCCAUUUUCCCUCUGCUCCCCCGCCCUCUGGGAAAAUUCUGUGUGGCAUCCAUGGGUCAUGGGGCUGCUGGCCAGCGGGUUGGCGAGAGCAGAGUUUGGCCAGGUUAUCGGGUUUCGUGGUCAGCCACCUUCGCCCCUGACCAGAGCUGUCUUUCCAAAACAGAACAUUUAGUCACCGCCUGUCCCUGUACUCAGCUGUCCUUGUGCCCCUGACCUUGCUUCCUGCCCACCCGCCCGGGGUUUUUCCUCGUCUCCUUGUCUCUUACUGACAUCUCGUGAAGAUGACCAGAGUCGAGGGAGUCAGAGAAAGAGAAACUGAGAGGCCGAGAGAGACAGUGACAGAAUCUGAGAGAUUGUCAGGUUCUGACAAAGACAAAGAGAGACCGAAAGAGGAGCCAGCCAGCCAGAGAGAGAUGGAGAGACAGGGGGAGCCCUGCCGGUACCCUCUGUCACCUGAGGCUCCUCUAAGGGCAGUGUACACACUGCUGGUCUCCUUCCAAUGAGUCUUGACCUUCUCCCAAAGCUAUGGCACCUUCUCCCACACUCCUUCCUUAGCUCAGCAGGUCACUGGACAUACCCGACCUGUACCACCCCACUUCCAAGUGUAAUCGCUCACCCAGCUCCCGCUGAUCUCCCUUCCUCCAGGAAGCCCUCCCUGCUUCCACAGCCCCUCUACAAUACCCUAACUGCAUUUACUUCCCAUACUCAUGUUGAUUGGUCAUAAGCUUAUCUACUCCGCUGGGUGUCAGCUCCUGGAGGGCAGGGACUGGGUCUGUCUUGCUCGCUCUGCCUCCUUGCAUCCAGCACAGUGCCUGAUGCAUAGUAGGUGCUCAAUAAAUAU